GGGGGAAGAAGAAGGAAGCAGGGGAUGUUUGGAGGGAUGGCAUUUGUUUUCCCAAGUAACCAUUAUGUGUGAUGGAGCCCUGCAUACCUGGAGAUGGUUGUACACCUGCCUGCUGAUGGGAAGAGUGACAUCCGAUAAGUAAGGACCUAACUACCUGGUCCAGCAUGGUUGGUCUCAAAAAUAAGAAGAUUUAGAGAUCUGGAAGCCAUCCUUUCUCAGUGGGAAACAGGAAGAACAGAGCGGCAUUCUUCCUUUCACCUGCUAGAACUUUCUCCGUUGUCCCCAUUUUUCACUGCUGUCUGCAUGGUGUAAUGUCUUACCUGUGGAAAUACACAAGCUAGAAGAGUGUGGAUAACACACCAGUGUUUUGGCUACUGCUGAGCUUUUCUCACACACCACCAUGGCUGUUUCUCCAAACCACUACCACCUGGCCCCAAGCCUCAAAACCCGCA